UCGAGCGUCAUUUCAACCCUCAGGCCCAGCCUGGUGAUGGGGCGCCGCUCCGCGCGGCCCCCGAAAAGCAGUGGCGGGCUCGCUGUGAACCCGGGCGUAGUAGCACACCUCGCCCUGGGAGCACGGCGGCACCCUGCCGUUAAACACCCCACAAACACAAGGUUGACCUCGGAUCAGGUAGGAAUACCCGCUGAACUUAA
rnacentral:misc_RNA from 1 species